CAUGGGGGGCUAUAUUUGGCACUGGGGGCACGUGAGCACCUGGCAUUGUGGGGGAAUAUCUGGCACUGGGGGCAUAUGUGGCACUGUGGGGAGAGGCUAUAUUUGGCACUGGGGGCAUGUGAGUACCUGGCACCGUGGGGGAAUAUCUGGCACUGAGGACAUAUGUGGCACUGGGAGCACAGCCCUAGCAACAAGCACUACCCCCUAGCAAUGAGCUUGACACCCAGUGCAUGAAACCCCUGGCAACGAGCAUGACACCGAGUGCAUGAAACACCUGGCAACGAGCAUGACACCCUGAGCAUGAAAACCCCUGGCACCGUGCAUGGAACCAAGAGCAUGAAACCCCUGGCAACGAGCAGGCGAUGCAGAACCCUAAUGGGUCAUAUAAAUAAAGGAGGAGAAGAAAAAGAAAAAAGGAAGAAAAAAUGCAAGAAGCCGGCGUUCACAUUACUUGAGGUAAAGCAUUCCUUUUAAGGAGAAGUAGGAAUGUGAGGCACAUUCUACACUUAAGUUGAUGGGUUUUUAUCUUGAGUGGGGACCUGUUAAGUCUUAUGUUCGGUCUGGUCCACUAAAGUGGGAUUUGCUCUCAAAAAGUAAUUCAAUUUGGGACAGAGUAUAUGCCCUUGUAAUUAUACUUAUAUUACCUUUAUGCCGUGUUGUCAGCAAUGCUUUUCAGUCAGACUUUAUUCUCAGUUUGUCAGUUCAAC